GAUCGCUGUGAUGCGGGCGGUUCGCCGCCCGUGACUCUGCGAGAAGUCCAUUGAACCUUAUCAUUUAGAGGAAGGAGAAGUCGUAACAAGGUUUCCGUAGGUGAACCUGCGGAAGGAUCAUUGUCGAGAUCGAAAUACAUCGAGCGAUUUGGAGAACCCGUCAAAAUAAGCGGUAGCUAUUAUUGCCGCGAUAAAAUCCAUCCCAAUCGUUGCCUCAUCCCCUUGGGGGCGGGGAUGCGAUGAAGGUUGGAUGAACACUCAAACCGGCGCAGCAACGCGCCAAGGUAGUAACGAAACGCGGGCCCUUACAUGGGUCUUGUGGCAUGGGGUGCUGUAGCACGCCAUAUGGAUUGAUACGACUCUCGGCAAUGGAUAUCUCGGCUCUCGCAUCGAUGAAGAGCGCAGCGAAAUGCGAUACGUGGUGCGAAUUGCAGAAUCCCGCGAACCAUCGAGUCUUUGAACGCAAGUUGCGCCCGAGGCCAACCGGCCAAGGGCACGUCUGCCUGGGCGUCAAGCAUUACGUCACUCCGUGCCAACUCCAUUCCUUCGAUGGAUGGGCUUGCGAAGGCUCGGAUGUGUAGAGUGGCCGUCGUGCCUGUUUGUUCCGCGGGCUUAAGAACCGGUUAUUAUUUUCUUGGCUUCGGACCAUUAAGGGUUGAAUUAAACGAAAACCAUAUUAUUGUGUCGUGUAUGUCAGAGACAAGACUAUACAUUAUCAGGUGAUCCCAAAUCAUGCGUCGAUCCACGAAUGGCGUUUGGAAUGUGACCCCAGGAUGGGCGAGGCCACCCGCCGAGUUUAAGCAUAUCAAUAAGCGGAGGAGAAGAAACUUA
rnacentral:rRNA from 1 species